AACGAACGCUGGCGGCAUGCCUAACACAUGCAAGUCGAACGAGACCUUCGGGUCUAGUGGCGCACGGGUGCGUAACGCGUGGGAACCUGCCCUUAGGUUCGGAAUAGCUCCCCGAAAGGGGUGCUAAUACCGGAUAAUGUCUUCGGACCAAAGAUUUAUCGCCUUUGGAUGGGCCCGCGUUGGAUUAGCUAGUUGGUAGGGUAAAAGCCUACCAAGGCGACGAUCCAUAGCUGGUCUGAGAGGAUGAUCAGCCACACUGGGACUGAGACACGGCCCAGACUCCUACGGGAGGCAGCAGUGGGGAAUAUUGGACAAUGGGCGAAAGCCUGAUCCGGCAAUGCCGCGUGAGUGAUGAAGGCCUUAGGGUUGUAAAGCUCUUUUACCCGGGAUGAUAAUGACAGUACCGGGAGAAUAAGCUCCGGCUAACUCCGUG
rnacentral:rRNA from 1 species